GACGAACGCUGGCGGCGUGCUUAACACAUGCAAGUCGAACGGUAAGGCCCCUUCGGGGGUACACGAGUGGCGAACGGGUGAGUAACACGUGAGUAACCUGCCCUUGACUCUGGGAUAACAGCUGGAAACAGCUGCUAAUACCGGAUAUCAGCCUCGUUGGCAUCUACGAGGCUUGAAAGCUCCGGCGGUCAUGGAUGGACUCGCGGCCUAUCAGCUUGUUGGUGAGGUAAUGGCUCACCAAGGCGACGACGGGUAGCCGGCCUGAGAGGGCGACCGGCCACAUUGGGACUGAGAUACGGCCCAAACUCCUACGGGAGGCAGCAGUGGGGAAUAUUGCACAAUGGGCGCAAGCCUGAUGCAGCAACGCCGCGUGCGGGAAGACGGCCUUCGGGUUGUAAACCGCUUUCAGUAGGGACGAAGCUUUUGUGACGGUACCUACAGAAGAAGCACCGGCUAACUACGUGCCAGCAGCCGCGGUGAUACGUAGGGUGCGAGCGUUGUCCGGAAUUAUUGGGCGUAAAGAGCUUGUAGGCGGUUUGUCACGUCGGGAGUGAAAACUCGGGGCUUAACUCCGAGCUUGCUUUCGAUACGGGCUGACUUGAGGAAGGUAGGGGAGAAUGGAAUUCCUGGUGAAGCGGUGGAAUGCGUAGAUAUCAGGAGGAACACCAGUGGCGAAGGCGGUUCUCUGGACCUUUUCUGACGCUGAGAAGCGAAAGCGUGGGGAGCAAACAGGCUUAGAUACCCUGGUAGUCCCCGCCGUAAACGGUGGGUACUAGGUGGGGGGAACAUUUCACGUUCUCGGGUGCGGCAGUUAACGCAUUAAGUCCCCUCCCUGGGGAGAUACGACCGCAGGGCUAAAACUCAAAGGAAUUGACGGGGCCCCGCACAAGAGGCGGAGCAUGCGGAUUAAUUCGAUGCAACGCGAAGAACCUUACCUGGGUUUGACAUAUACCGGAAACACCUGGAGACAGCUGCCCCUUUUUGGUCGGUAUACAGGUGGUGCAUGGCUGUCGUCAGCUCGUGUCGUGAGACGUUGGGUUAAGUCCCGCAACGAGCGCAACCCUCGUCGUAUGUUGCCAGCGGAUAAUGCCGGGGACUCAUAGGAGACCGCCGGGGUCAACUCGGAGGAAGGUGGGGAUGACGUCAAGUCAUCAUGCCCCUUAUGUCCAGGGCUUCACGCAUGCUACAAUGGCUGGUACAAAGAGCUGCGAACCUGCAAAGGCAAGCGAAUCUCAAAAAGCCAGUCUCAGUUCGGAUUGGGGUCUGCAACUCGACCCCAUGAAGUCGGAGUCGCUAGUAAUCGCAGAUCAGCAACGCUGCGGUGAAUACGUUCCCGGGGCU
rnacentral:rRNA from 1 species